GUUGUUGAAGUUCUUGACUUUUCUUUUGUCUUUCGUCGAUUUUUCCGUUUCCGUAUUCCGUUUUCGGUAAUAGAAUACCUCUCCUGCUAAGGUGAUCAUCGCCAGGGCGAGCCCGAAGAGGGUUGCGAUAAACACUCCACCUGAAAGUUUGUUUCUUUCCAUUUUUAUUUGGUUUAAAAUUUAAUUCAAUCUCGAAUAUUAUUAUCCUUUUCGUUUUUUUUCUAAAGUGAACCAUAAACUUUCAAUUUUGAAAUUGUAGGAUUCAUUCAGAGAUUAGUGAACGACUCACCCAAACUUUCCAAAGUAAUUCCUUCAUUAUCAUCAGAAUUCAGACAUUGCGCCUUCUGCGUUUGGUUCCAAUAUUUAGAAGCCAACAUUUCAAAGUAUCUAUCUUUUUGCAAAUCCAAAAUCCUGCAACGAAUCAAAUAUAAGUAAAAUACAAUACAAUCAUCCCUUUAAAUAUCUUAAUAUAAAAACAAACUUUCUGCUUAUCUCUUCCUGCAAAUGGCUUCCUUGCUGAACAGCAAUUGCAUAAGGCUGUUCCGCAAACACUUCUCCAACCUCUGUCAAAUUGCAAUUCUUCGUUACCUCAUACCGUAUCUCCGACGAAUCGUGGAUGAAAGCGAAUUCUGCAUUUUCGCUUUCUAUCACCUGAAACGAUGCAAAAAGCAAUAGUUUCAGACAUCGAUUUAUUCCAUACUUGAUUCAAUUGUCGUCGUUUUGUACCUUUCGAAAACCCUCCAUUGAAUUCGCAACUGGACCGACUUGUGUGAUCGCUUGCAAUAUGUGGCCGUAUUGUUCCUUGAUAGGAUAAUCCCAGACUCGAUACUCUACCUCGUCACUUGUAUUGUUUAAUGUAAUUUCUUUCCAUACGCUAAUUGAAAUAUGAAAUUGAGAAGAAUUAUUGGAUUUAGGAAGGAAAGGAAUAUUUUUUACUUUUAUUAUUUGGUUAUAUAUUAAUGUUUUUAUUUUAAAAUUUGUCAAUAAUUUUACUCUUUUUUUAAUCUGCUAUUAAAGUUCUUUCUUUUUCAGUGAACUUACGUGUACAAUUUAUCCUCUGCAUUCUUCAUAUUUAUAAAAUACUGAUGCUGACUAGAAUUAACCACUACAGUAUAAUUGAUUCUAGAUUGUCUGGCUAAUUGUUCCAAAGAUUGCACAGGAGACUAAAACAAUACACAAUAUAUUGCAAUAUUAUCUCUCAUUUUGAAGAUCAAAAGUAAGGAAAGCAGCUAAAUUAGCAGUGAAUGUAGCCAACAUUAAAACAACGAAUAACCAAUAAGCAGCAACUAGUAUCCUGCUUGAUAACGCUUUGGGUGCUUCGCCGCCACCUUGGGGUGUAAAAGACGUCAAGGCGAACCAGAAACUCUCCUUCAACGUGAAUUCUCUAAACACAGAAUAUAAUUAGGUUAUACGACAAUCAUUAUCGAUUAAGUAAUUGCUUUGUCUUUAUGACAAUCAUUAACGAUAAAAUGUGUAGUGGUCAUUAAGGGUGAUUUAUAGUAAUCUUGAUCUAAUUCCAGCAAAUGACCAAAGAUAUUGACGCGACGACAUUACUAUAAUAAUAAUAAUAAUUAAUUUAAAUUUCCACUAAUGAGACUUCGAUAAUUAAUAAUUUUUAUAAUUAAGAAAUUUUUAGAAAUUUUAAAGUUAUUACCGACAAGGAUACGGAUACAAUUGUUUAUUAUUCCUGGCGCUGUAAGGAGAAUAUUUGUCAAGUAUCCAAAUCAUGAUGCCAGUUAAUGUUAAAGCUCCUACGAUGCUUAACCACACUUCGACUUUGAGUACUGUCAUAAAUUUGAAAAGGGAUGGUUUGCGGACAGGUUUCCUCAUUACUUAUAACAAAAAAUUAAAAAAAAGAAAAAAUCGUAUAAUGUAAAAAUUUGUUAACAUUUAAAUUAAAAAUAAUAGUUAUAUUAUUUACCAAUUAAUAAGCCGGAUUGUUCGAAGUAAGGGGCGACGAAAUCGAUCACUUCCUCACGUUCUGAAGUCAUUGUCAAUGCAGCAACUAUGAUAUCUGUCUCCUAAAAAAAAUAAUUAUAAAAAAGAAGUAAAACGUGAUAAAAAAAUAAAAGAAAGAACAGAAAUAAAUUCAUAAAAGAAGAAUAUUAAUUUAAAGGAAAAAUUGAAAUUGAAGAAGAUGAUGUUUUACACUAAGAGGUAUGCACGGUUGCAGACUCAUAGGCGCCAUCAAGUUCAAUAUAUAGGAAACAAGAAGGUUUGCAUGAUUGGAUGCAGAUGCCAUGAAAUUCAGUAUACAAAUCUUACUCCUUUAGCUAGAUCACCAAUCAAGCCAUUCCAUUGUCCAUUAGGUAAUUUCUUGCCAAAUUGUCG